rnacentral:rRNA from 1 species
UACGUAGGCAGCGAGCGUUGUUCGGAGUUACUGGGCGUAAAGAGUGCGUAGGCGGUUUUCUAAGUUUGGUGUGAAAUCUCCCGGCUUAACUGGGAGGGUGCGCCGAAAACUGGAAGGCUUGAGUAUGGGAGAGGUAAGCGGAAUUCCUGGUGUAGCGGUGAAAUGCGUAGAUAUCGGAAGGAACAUCAGUGGCGAAAGCGACUUCCUGGACCAGUACCGACGUUCAGGCACGAAAGCGUGGGGAGCAAACAGG